rnacentral:lncRNA from 1 species
GACUGUACAAGGAAAAAAAUGCAAAUUCCCUUUCGUGGAACUUCGAACUGCGUCCUCUAGGGGUCGCUAUGGGGAACGCCUCGUCGUGACCCGUGUCUGAAGCCUACAUUGAAAAAACACCAACUUGUUUGGCCGGCGACAGCCAUGACGUCACUACCGUCGCAACUAGUACAAAAUAGGCGCCGGUAGCGCACAUCAUCACUUUCUUCGUCUUCACUGACCGUUCUGUUUGAAGCGUGCAUUCCAAAAGCAAAGUAAGACUAUUUCUUUUCCUACUAUGGCGAGCACUAGCGGAGCGUUUAGAAAGUGUGUACAUCCGUGCCAGCGGUUCCUGACACCCGAUGAUUCACACGAUCUAUGCGUUGUUUGUUUGGGCGAGGAGCACGCACGCGAUGUCUUCGAGGAGGCAAUCUGCGUGCAUUGCGAGAGCUUUUCGCUGAAAAAGCUCCGUUCUCGUUUGUCUCUCUUCUCGAGUGGAGAGGGACAACCAUCGGUUUCCCGCGGCUCGGGACCUGCCGCUGCUGAGGCACGGAGGAGAAUGAGCUCGUGGGGAUCUCAGGUGGACCUAGCCGAUGAGGCUGAAGGGGGGGUUCCCCUCUUCCGCGCAUCGGUGUCGGGCGAGAGACAGCCACUGGACGAUGAUAUCCUCUCUCUGAUAUCAUCUGAUCCAGGGGCCAGUGCUCAGUUGGGCCCAGCCCAACAAGAGCAGGAAAUGGAUGCGGAGAGUGAAGAAGCUGAGGCUGAGCUUUCCCAAUCCACCUGCCCGGCGUAUGAUGAGCUGUUAGAGGUGAUGGAUCGGGCCACGGCAAGGCUCGAAUUACCGUGGAAACGAGCCAAGGAGGUGACGUCGCGAGGUCGCCUCGACGAACGUUAUCUCUCCGGCCAUACACCUCCAGCUCAAGUGAGCCUUCCUUUCCUUCCUGAUCUCCAUACUGAGAUCGAGAAGGAAUGGGAGAAGCCGUUUUCCUCACGCGUAUACCGGUUUCAGCAUACGAGUUAUGCGAACAUCGAGUCGAUGCGCGAAAGCGG